rnacentral:rRNA from 1 species
UGGGGAAUCUUGCGCAAUGGGCGAAAGCCUGACGCAGCAACGCCGCGUGCGGGAUGAAGGCUCUCGGGUCGUAAACCGCUUUCAGCAGGGAUGAAACUGACAGUACCUGCAGAAGAAGCCCCGGCUAAAUACGUGCCAGCAGCCGCGGUAAUACGUAUGGGGCAAGCGUUAUCCGGAUUCAUUGGGCGUAAAGAGCGCGUAGGCGGCUUGUUAAGUCGGAUGUGAAAACUGGGGGCUCAACCCGCAGCGUGCAUCUGAAACUGGCAGGCUUGAGUCUGGUAGAGGAAAGUGGAACUCCCAGUGUAGCGGUGAAAUGCGCAGAUAUUGGGAGGAACACCAGUGGCGAAGGCGGCUUUCUGGGCCACGACUGACGCUGAGGCGCGAAAGCUAGGGGAGCAAACAGGAUUAGAUACCCUGGUAGUCCUAGCUGUAACGAUGGGCACUAGGUGUGGGGGGUCGAUCAACUCCCUCCGUGCCGCAG